rfam:Aspergillus clavatus NRRL 1 1099423829798 genomic scaffold, whole genome shotgun sequence.
GGGACGAUAGCGCAGUUGGGAGCGCGUCAGACUGAAGUCCACUUCAAUCAAUUCAUCUGGAGGUCACCGGUUCGAUCCCGGUUCGUCCCA